rnacentral:rRNA from 1 species
GAAGCGAAAGUGACGGGUACCUGCAGAAAAAAGCACCGGGCUAACUACGUGCCAGCAGCCGCGGUAAUACGUAGGGUGCAAGCGUUGUCCGGGAAUUAUUGGGCGUAAAGAGCUCGUAGGCGGUUUGUCGCGUCUGCUGUGAAAUCCCGAGGCUCAACCUCGGGCUUGCAGUGGGUACGGGCAGACUAGAGUGCGGUAGGGGAGAUUGGAACUCCUGGUGUAGCGGUGGAAUGCGCAGAUAUCAGGAAGAACACCGAUGGCGAAGGCAGAUCUCUGGGCCGUAACUGACGCUGAGGAGCGAAAGCGUGGGGAGCGAACAGGAUUAGAUACCCUGGUAGUCCACGCCGUAAACGUUGGGCGCUAGAUGUAGGGACCUUUCCACGGUUUCUGUGUCGUAGCUAACGCAUUAAGCGCCCCGCCUGGGGAGUACGGCCGCAAGGCUAAAACUCAAAGGAAUUGACGGGGGCCCGCACAAGCGGCGGAGCAUGCGGAUUAAUUCGAUGCAACGCGAAGAACCUUACCAAGGCUUGACAUACACCGGAAACGGCCAGAGAUGGUCGCCCCCUUGUGGUCGGUGUACAGGUGGUGCAUGGUUGUCGUCAGCUCGUGUCGUGAGAUGUUGGGUUAAGUCCCGCAACGAGCGCAACCCUCGUUCUAUGUUGCCAGCGGUUCGGCCGGGGACUCAUAGGAGACUGCCGGGGUCAACUCGGAGGAAGGUGGGGAUGACGUCAAAUCAUCAUGCCCCUUAUGUCUUGGGCUUCACGCAUGCUACAAUGGCCGGUACAAAGGGCUGCGAUACCGUAAGGUGGAGCGAAUCCCAAAAAGCCGGUCUCAGUUCGGAUUGAGGUCUGCAACUCGACCUC